AUGAAUGUAGUCAAGGCCAUUAAAUUUGGCUACAGGUGGUUAGUGGGUGAUGGUAAGCAAAUCAGGUUUUGGGAAGAUACCUGGUUUGGCACUUCCCCCUUAGCUAUUCAAUAUUGGCCCCUAUAUGCUAUUCGCAACGAGACCUCGAAAACUAUUAGUGAGAUCUGGGAUGGGGCCCAGGACAAGCUCUCUUUCAGAAGAAAUUUUAAUGAUAAGAUGAUGGAAUCUUGGUACCAACUAGAGGAAAUUGUUAAGAAAAUCACCCUAGUUGAUGAAACAGACUCCCUGGUCUGGCAACUAGACAGUAAAGGAGUGUACUCUAGUAGCUCUCUAUAUCAUGUGAUUAAUUUUAGAGUGGUGAAACCGGUGUUCAUCCUUGUUGUGUGGAAACUGCUUGUGCCACCCAAAAUUCAUAUUUUCCUUUGGCUAGUCUCUUAUAAUAAGAUCAUGACCAGAGAUAAUCUUAGGAAAAGACACAUCAUUAAACCUCUAGAUUGUGUGUUUUGCUCUUCAGAAAAAUCUAUUCAGCAUCUGUUUUUUUAUUGUGUUGUUGCUAAAAUUAUUUGGAGUUUGGUGAGAGACCACUUCAAGAAAGACCUGGGAUCUGAUCAUCUUGUUGGAAAUAUGCCCUAG
rnacentral:rRNA from 1 species